GGGCCGGUAGUUCAGCGGUAGAAUGUCCGCCUUGCACGCGGAUGAUCCUAUCAUAUUUGAUGGGGUCAGCGAGAGGUCGCGGGUUCAAAUCCCGCCCGGUCCA
rnacentral:tRNA from 1 species